rnacentral:rRNA from 1 species
GUCCUACGGGGGGCAGCAGUGGGGAAUAUUGCACAAUGGGGGAAACCCUGAUGCAGCGACGCCGCGUGAGUGAGGAAGUAUUUCGGUAUGUAAAGCUCUAUCAGCAGGGAAGAAAAUGACGGUACCUGACUAAGAAGCCCCGGCUAACUACGUGCCAGCAGCCGCGGUAAUACGUAGGGGGCAAGCGUUAUCCGGAUUUACUGGGUGUAAAGGGAGCGUAGACGGCUAAUCAAGUCAGAGGUGAAACCCCAGGGCUCAACCUGGGGACUGCUUUUAAAACUAGG